rnacentral:rRNA from 1 species
UACGGAAGGCAGCAGUGGGGAAUACUUGCACAAUGGGCGAAAGCCUGAUGCAGCUAUGCCGCGUGUAUGAAGAAGGCCUUAGGGUUGUAAAGUACUUUCAUCGGGGAGGAAAAAACAAAACUAAUAAUUUUAUUUCUUGACGUUACCCGAAAAAGAAGCACCGGCUAACUCCGUGCCAGCAGCCGCGGUAAUACGGAGGGUGCUAGCGUUAAUCAGAAUUACUGGGCGUAAAGAGCACGUAGGUGGUUUUUUUAAGUCAGAUGUGAAAUCCCUGGGCUUAACCUAGGAACUGCAUUUUGAAACUGAAAUACUAGAGUAUCGUAGAGGGAGGUAGAAUUCUAGGUGUAGCGGUGAAAUGCGUAGAUAUCUGGAGGAAUACCUGUGGCGAAAGCGGCCUCCUAAACGAAUACUGACACUGAGGUGCGAAAGCGUGGGGAGCAAACAGGGAUUAGAUACC